GAUGAAGAACGUAGCGAAAUGCGAUAAGUAAUGUGAAUUGCAGAAUUCAGUGAAUCAUCGAAUCUUUGAACGCACAUUGCGCCCCCUGGCAUUCCGGGGGGCAUGCCUGUUCGAGCGUCAUUACAACCCUCAAGCUCUGCUUGGUGUUGGGCCCCGCCGCCCCGGCGGGCCCUAAAAUCAGUGGCGGUGCCGUCCGGCUCCGAGCGUAGUAAUUCUUCUCGCUCUGGAGGUCCGGGUGUGUGCUCGCCAGCAACCCCCAAUUUUUUUCAGGUUGACCUCGGAUCAGGUAGGGAUACCCGCUGAACUUAAGCAUAUCAAUAAGCGGAGGA
rnacentral:misc_RNA from 1 species